rnacentral:rRNA from 1 species
UGCAGUCGAGCGGUAACAGAUCCAGCUUGCUGGAUGCUGACGAGCGGCGGACGGGUGAGUAAUGCAUAGGAAUCUGCCCGAUAGUGGGGGAUAACCUGGGGAAACCCAGGCUAAUACCGCAUACGUCCUACGGGAGAAAGGGGGCUCCGGCUCCCGCUAUGGGAUGAGCCUAUGUCGGAUUAGCUAGUUGGUGAGGUAACGGCUCACCAAGGCCACGAUCCGUAGCUGGUCUGAGAGGAUGAUCAGCCACAUCGGGACUGAGACACGGCCCGAACUCCUACGGGAGGCAGCAGUGGGGAAUAUUGGACAAUGGGGGAAACCCUGAUCCAGCCAUGCCGCGUGUGUGAAGAAGGCCCUCGGGUUGUAAAGCACUUUCAGCGAGGAAGAACGCCUAGCGGUUAAUACCCGCUAGGAAAGACAUCACUCGCAGAAGAAGCACCGGCUAACUCCGUGCCAGCAGCCGCGGUAAUACGGAGGGUGCAAGCGUUAAUCGGAAUUACUGGGCGUAAAGCGCGCGUAGGUGGCUUGAUAAGCCGGUUGUGAAAGCCCCGGGCUCAACCUGGGAACGGCAUCCGGAACUGUCAAGCUAGAGUGCAGGAGAGGAAAGGUAGAAUUCCCGGUGUAGCGGUGAAAUGCGUAGAGAUCGGGAGGAAUACCAGUGGCGAAAGCGGGCCUUCUGGACUGACACUGACACUGAGUGCGAAAGCGUGGUAGCAAACAGGAUUAGAUACCCUGG